UUCCGGUUGAUCCCGCCGGAGGCGACCGCUUUGGGAGUUCGAUUAAGCCAUGCGAGUCGUGAGUCUUAGGGACUCGGCAUACCGCUCAGUAACACGUGGAUAACCUGCCCUAUCGUCUGGAAUAACCUCGGGAAACUGAGAAUAAGGCCGGAUAGUUCACAAUGCCUGGAACGGUUUGUGAAUCGAGGUAGGAUGGGUCUGCGGCGUAUCAGGUUGUAGGGGGUGUAAAGGACCCCCUAGCCUUCGACGCGUACGGGUGUUGGGAGACAUAGCCCGGAGAUGGAUUCUGAGACACGAAUCCAGACCCUACGGGGUGCAGCAGGCGCGAAAACUUCACACUGCAGGAAACUGUGAUGAGGGAACUCCUAGUGCAUGCACUAUGUGUAUGUAGAUCCUACUCUUAACAAGUAGAGGGAAAGGGCUGGGAAAGACCGGUGCCAGCCGCCGCGGUAAUACCGGCAGCUCAAGUGGUCGUCGCUUUUAUUGGGCCUAAAACGUCCGUAGCCUGUUUGGUAAAUCUGUGGGUAAAUCAAUCCGCUCAACGGAUUGAAUUCUGCAGAGACUGCCAGACUAGGGACCGGGAGAGGUGUGGGGUACUCGAGGGGUAGGGGUAAAAUCCUGUCAUCCUUCGAGGACCACCAGUUGCGAAGGCGCCACACUGGAACGGAUCCGACGGUCAGGGACGAAGCCUAGGGGCACGAACCGGAUUAGAUACCCGGGUAGUCCUAGGUGUAAACGCUGUGAACUUGGUGUCGGGGGUCCGCAAGGGGUCCCCGGUGCCGGAGUGAAGAUGUUAAGUUCACUGCCUGGGGAGUACGGUCGCAAGGCUGAAACUUAAAGGAAUUGGCGGGGCAGCAC
rnacentral:rRNA from 1 species